CCUAGGGGAGGCAGCAGUGGGGAAUAUUGGACAAUGGGCGAAAGCCUGAUCCAGCCAUGCCGCGUGUGUGAAGAAGGCCUUCGGGUUGUAAAGCACUUUCAGUGGGGAAGAAAGCCUUGGGGCUAAUACCCUCGAGGAAGGACAUCACCCACAGAAGAAGCACCGGCUAACUCCGUGCCAGCAGCCGCGGUAAUACGGAGGGUGCGAGCGUUAAUCGGAAUUACUGGGCGUAAAGCGCGCGUAGGCGGUCUGAUAAGCCGGUUGUGAAAGCCCCGGGCUCAACCUGGGAACGGCAUCCGGAACUGUCAGGCUAGAGUGCAGGAGAGGAAGGUAGAAUUCCCGGUGUAGCGGUGAAAUGGGUAGAGAUCGGGAGGAAUACCAGUGGCGAAGGCGGCCUUCUGGACUGACACUGACGCUGAGGUGCGAAAGCGUGGGUAGCAAACAGGAUUAGAUACCCCAGUAGUC
rnacentral:rRNA from 1 species